UGAAAUACCACCCUUUAAUGUUUGAUGUUCUAACGUUGGCCCCUGAUCGGGGUUGCGGACAGUGUCUGGUGGGUAGUUUGACUGGGGCGGUCUCCUCCUAAAGAGUAACGGAGGAGCACGAAGGUUGGCUAAUCCUGGUCGGACAUCAGGAGGUUAGUGCAAUGGCAUAAGCCAGCUUGACUGCGAGCGUGACGGCGCGAGCAGGUGCGAAAGCAGGUCAUAGUGAUCCGGUGGUUCUGAAUGGAAGGGCCAUCGCUCAACGGAUAAAAGGUACUCCGGGGAUAACAGGCUGAUACCGCCCAAGAGUUCAUAUCGACGGCGGUGUUUGGCACCUCGAUGUCGGCUCAUCACAUCCUGGGGCUGAAGUAGGUCCCAAGGGUAUGGCUGUUCGCCAUUUAAAGUGGUACGCGAGCUGGGUUUAGAACGUCGUGAGACAGUUCGGUCCCUAUCUGCCGUGGGCGCUGGAGAACUGAGGGGGGCUGCUCCUAGUACGAGAGGACCGGAGUGGACGCAUCACUGGUGUUCGGGUUGUCAUGCCAAUGGCACUGCCCGGUAGCUAAAUGCGGAAGAGAUAAGUGCUGAAAGCAUCUAAGCACGAAACUUGCCCCG
rnacentral:rRNA from 1 species